rnacentral:rRNA from 1 species
UUGUCUCAAAGAUUAAGCCAUGCAUGUCUUAGUUCGCCCCUUCGGACGGGGACACCGCGAAUGGCUCAUUAAAUCAGUCGAUGUUCAUUAGACGACACGACCCGUUCACUCGGAUAACUGUGGCAAUUCCAGAGCUAAUACGUGCCUCGCAAGCCCUGACCCCCAUGCGAACGGGGGAAUGGGCGCUUUUAUUAGUUCAAAACCGGUGCGCUCCUCCUUCGCCUCACGGCGGGGGUAGGGAGCGCUCCAUUUUUGGUGACUCUGGAUAACCUUUCGCUGAUCGCACGGCCCCGGCGCCGGCGACGCAUCUUUCAAAUGUCUGCCCUAUCAAAUGUCGACGGUACGUGAUAGGCCCACCGUGUUGGCGACGGGUAACGGGGAAUCAGGGUUCGAUUCCGGAGAGGGAGCACGAGAAACGGCUACCACAUCCAAGGAAGGCAGCAGGCGCGCAACUUACCCACUCCUGGCACGGGGAGGUAGUGACGAAAAAUAACAAUACGGGACUCUUUUUGAGGCCCCGUAAUUGGAAUGAGUGCAGUCUAAAUCCUCGCGUGAGGACCGAUUGGAGGGCAAGUCUGGUGCCAGCAGCCGCGGUAAUUCCAGCUCCAAUAGCGUAUAUUAAAGUUGUUGCAGUUAAAAAGCUCGUAGUUGGAUCUCGGGGCAGGCGGGCGGUCCGGCUCGCGCCGGCUCGCCGCCCGUUUCCCUGCCCCACCCCUGCCGGCUCCCUCCCGGCGGUGCUCUUCGUUGAGCGUCCCGGGUGGCCGGUGCGUUUACUUUGAAAAAAUUAGAGUGUUCAAGGCGGGCCCGAAGCGCCCGCAUAUCCGUGCAUGGAAUAAUGGAAUAGGACCCCGGGUCUCUAUUUUGCUGGUUUUCGGAAUCCGAGGUAAUGAUUGACAGGGACAAACGGGGGCAUUCGUAUUGCGGCGUUAGAGGUGAAAUUCUUGGAUCGCCGCAAGACGAACUACUGCGAAAGCAUUUGCCAAGAAUGUUUUCAUUAAUCAAGAACGAAAGUCAGAGGCGCGAAGACGAUCAGAUACCGUCGUAGUUCUGACCAUAAACGAUGCCGACCGGCGAUCCGCGGGAGUUGCUUUGAUGACUCUGCGGGCGGCCUCCGGGAAACCUGAGUCUUUGGGUUCCGGGGGAAGUAUGGUUGCAAAGCUGAAACUUAAAGGAAUUGACGGAAGGGCACCACCAGGAGUGGAGCCUGCGGCUUAAUUUGACUCAACACGGGAAAACUCACCUGGUCCGGACACCGCGAGGAUUGACAGAUUGACAGCUCUUUCUUGAUUCGGUGGGUGGUGGUGCAUGGCCGUUCUUAGUUGGUGGAGCGAUUUGUCUGGUUGAUUCCGAUAACGAACGAGACUCUGGCCUGUUAAAUAGGACGCCGGUUUCCGCGCGCCCCGGUCUCCCCCCUGCCCGUCCGACGUGCCUGCUGGGCGCGCUCGCGUGUGCGUUUUUGUGUGCGAGUGCAGGCGCCAGUGCCCCUUUCCGAAGGUGCGCGGCGUUCGCGUUUGUGUGCAUCGGCGUGUGUGUGGGUGUGCCUGGCGCGCGACGGUGGCGGUGGUGGCGGGUGCUCCGGGCGGACGCGCGCGCCGGUGGACACACUUCUUAGAGGGACGAGCGGCGUUUAGCCGUGCGAGAUUGAGCAAUAACAGGUCUGUGAUGCCCUUAGAUGUCCGGGGCCGCACGCGCGCUACACUGAAGGGAUCAGCGUGGUUGUCUCCCUGGGCCGAGAGGACUGGGAAACCCGUUGAAUCCCCUUCGUGCUAGGGACCGGGGCUUGUAAUUCUUCCCCGCGAACGAGGAAUUCCCAGUAAGCGCGGGUCAUAAGCCCGCGUUGAUUACGUCCCUGCCCUUUGUACACACCGCCCGUCGCUACUAUCGAUUGAGCGGUUCAGUGAGGGCAUCGGAUUGGUCGCGGCCUGGGGUUUGCACCCCGGCGCCCGUGCGCCGAGAAGACGCCCGAACUCGAUCGCUUGGAGAAAGUAAAAGUCGUAACAAGGUUU